rnacentral:rRNA from 1 species
GACGAACGCUGGCGGCGUGCUUAACACAUGCAAGUCGAGCGGUAAGGCCCUUUCGGGGGUACGACGAGCGGCGAACGGGUGAGUAACACGUGGGUGACCUGCCCUCAGCUCUGGGAUAAGCCUGGGAAACUGGGUCUAAUACCGGAUAUGACUCCAUGACGCAUGUUGUGGGGUGGAAAGCCUUGUGCGGCUGAGGAUGGGCCCGCGGCCU